UACGGAGGGUGCAAGCGUUAUCCGGAUUCACUGGGUUUAAAGGGUGCGUAGGUGGAUCGGUAAGUCCGUGGUGAAAUCCCCGAGCUUAACUCGGGAACUGCCGUGGAUACUAUCGAUCUUGAAUACUGUGGAGGUAAGCGGAAUAUGUCAUGUAGCGGUGAAAUGCUUAGAUAUGACAUAGAACACCGAUGGCGAAGGCAGCUUGCUACACAGUUAUUGACACUGAGGCACGAAAGCGUGGGGAGCAAACAGG
rnacentral:rRNA from 1 species